GCGGCAAGCCUAACACAUGCAAGUCGAGCGGCAGCGGGAGGAAGCUUGCUUCCUUGCCGGCGAGCGGCGGACGGUUGAGUAAGGUAUGGGGAUCUGGCCGAAGGCGGGGGAUAACCACUGGAAACGGUGGCUAAUACCGCAUAAUCUCUAAGGAGCAAAGUGGGGGACCGUUCUGGCCUCACACCUUCGGAUGAACCCAUAUGAGAUUAGCUAGUAGGUGGGGUAAUGGCUCACCUAGGCGACGAUCUCUAGCUGGUCUGAGAGGAUGAUCAGCCACACUGGGACUGAGACACGGCCCAGACUCCUACGGGAGGCAGCAGUGGGGAAUAUUGCACAAUGGGCGCAAGCCUGAUGCAGYCAUGCCGCGUGUAUGAAGAAGGCCUUCGGGUUGUAAAGUACUUUCAGUCGUGAGGAAGGUGUUAAGGUUAAUAACCUUAGCAAUUGACGUUAGCGACAGAAGAAGCACCGGCUAACUCCGUGCCAGCAGCCGCGGUAAUACGGAGGGUGCGAGCGUUAAUCGGAAUUACUGGGCGUAAAGGGCACGCAGGCGGUUAAUUAAGUUGGAUGUGAAAUCCCCGGGCUUAACCUGGGAAUGGCAUUCAAGACUGGUUAGCUAGAGUCUUGUAGAGGGGGGUAGAAUUCCAUGUGUAGCGGUGAAAUGCGUAGAGAUGUGGAGGAAUACCGGUGGCGAAGGCGGCCCCCUGGACAAAGACUGACGCUCAUGUGCGAAAGCGUGGGGAGCAAACAGGAUUAGAUACCCUGGUAGUCCACGCUGUAAACGAUGUCGAUUUGGAGGUUGUGGUCAUGAACUGUGGCCUCCGGAGCUAACGCGUUAAAUCGACCGCCUGGGGAGUACGGCCGCAAGGUUAAAACUCAAAUGAAUUGACGGGGGCCCGCACAAGCGGUGGAGCAUGUGGUUUAAUUCGAUGCARCGCGAAGAACCUUACCUACUCUUGACAUCCAGCGAAUCCUUUAGAGAUAGAGGAGUGCCUUCGGGAACGCUGAGACAGGUGCUGCAUGGCUGUCGUCAGCUCGUGUUGAGAAAUGUUGGGUUAAG
rnacentral:rRNA from 1 species